CCUACGGGAGGCAGCAGUGAGGAAUAUUGGUCAAUGGGCGCGAGCCUGAACCAGCCAAGUCGCGUGAAGGAUGACUGCCCUACGGGUUGUAAACUUCUUUUAUAAAGGAAUAAAGUGAGGCACGUGUGCCUUUUUGUCUGUACUUUAUGAAUAAGGAUCGGCUAAAUCCGUGCAAGCAGCCGCGGUAAUAGGGAGGAACCGAUCGUUAUCCGGAUUUAUUGGGUUUAAAGGGAGCGAAGAUGGAUUGUUAAGUCAGGUGUGAAAGUUUGCGGCUCAACCGUAAAAUUGCAAUUGAUACUGGCAGUCUUGAGUGCAGUUGAGGUAGGCGGAAUUCGUGGUGUAGCGGUGAAAUGCGUAGAUAUCACGAAGAACUCCGAUUGCGAAGGCAGCUUACUAAACUGCCACUGACAUUGAUGCUCGAAAGUGUGGGUAUCAAACAGGAUUAGAUACCCUUGUAGUC
rnacentral:rRNA from 1 species